rnacentral:lncRNA from 1 species
CUGGCCCUCUUCCCCUCCCCCUCCUCCCGCAGCUCCUCCCAGUGCCCCCAGCCUCAGCGGCGCUGGUGCUCCUAGCUCAGAACCUGCCAGGCCUGGCUGCUGGGGGCACCUGUGCCCGGCAGCCCCCAUUUGCUUCCACCUGCCACAGACUCUGCACCAUCCAGAAGGCCCAGUCUCUCUCCUGGAGGCCCUUCCCAGCCCACCCUGCGCAGCUGGCCUCGCCCCCACCCCCCUCUCGGACCCAUGCCCAUGAGCUGCUCGUCACACAGCCCUCCCUACCCUGGCUGAGGCUGGUGUCUCCACAGGGCUGUCUUUCAGGACACAGUUCACAUCUCCUUCCUGAACUUGGGAUGUGUGUAACAGGAAGCAAACACAACGCCAGAGAAAAAAUCAGCCACACCCGGAUCUUAGAGAUGUGGACAUGUUGGCCGGUAGAUGAAAAACGCAGUCAUAGAAAUCAUAAGCAAUCACCAACGAGCUGAGUGCUACAAAACAGAAGUGGAGGAGGGAGACAGAAGAAGAGCCCACUGUCCCCUUCCUGGAAUGACACUCCCUCGUGGUGCCCUACUCCUUCCAAGAUAAAGAAGAGGCACUCCAGGUUUGUCUAAGACCCUGCACACCCAUCCUGGCUGACACCAGCCACCUCAUCUUCCACUAUCCGCCCCCCAGCUUCUGUCCCCCACUCUAACCAAGAAUUCCUGAGCCUCAAAGCCAAGGCUGUUUCACGUCACAGCAACUGUGAGCUUCUGCUGUCUGCAAGAACAUCCCUCCUGCCCCUCCAAGACCCAGGUCAAGAGGCACCUCCCUGAGGAAGCUGAUGUCAAAAUCGACUUGGCCCUCUGUCUUGGGGUCACGAGGUAAUGCCUGCUUCAGCAAGAUCUUGCUAAGCCAUAACUGUCUAGGUGCCCAGCCCCCAUGCUGGAAUUUCAGCUUUGCCAGGGCGAGAUCCAGCAGGGCCCGAUUCACUUCUGGUCCCUGGUGCCCUAAACAGCACCUGGCACACAGUGGACUCCCAGCCAUAUCCCCCGAACUGUGCACAGCCACCAGGCAUGGCUGAGCGGGUUAUUCCAUCAGCUUUGUGGAAUAUCGUGCAGCUGUUAAAACCACAAUUAUGAAGAUGAUUUUUGUUUGUUUUUUAGGGACAAGGUUGCCCAGGCUGGAGUGUAGUGGCAC